rnacentral:rRNA from 1 species
UACGGAGGGUGCGAGCGUUAAUCGGAAUUACUGGGCGUAAAGCGCGCGUAGGCGGUUAGCUAAGUCUGAUGUGAAAGCCCUGGGCUUAACCUGGGAACGGCAUUGGAAACUGGUUGACUGGAGUGUGGUAGAGGGGUGUGGAAUUUCCGGUGUAGCAGUGAAAUGCGUAGAGAUCGGAAGGAACACCAGUGGCGAAGGCGGCACCCUGGACCAACACUGACGCUGAGGUGCGAAAGCGUGGGGAG